rnacentral:misc_RNA from 1 species
UCUCCGUUGGUGAACCAGCGGAGGGAUCAUUACAGGACUCGCAAGACUCCUACAACCCUGUGAACUUAACUAUAAGCACGUUGCUUCGGCGGGUGUCUCGGAGGGGGUUCUCCCUCCCCGAGACGCUAAACCCGCCGGCAGCCUACUAUACUCUGUCUCUUUGCGUUGGCAUCUCGAGUACAAUCAAACAAGUUAAAACUUUCAACAACGGAUCUCUUGGUUCUC